UGGGGAAUAUUGCACAAUGGACGAAAGUCUGAUGCAGCGACGCCGCGUGAGGGAAGAAGGUAUUCGUAUUGUAAACCUCUGUCUUCGGGGACGAUAAUGACGGUACCCGAGGAGGAAGCACCGGCUAACUACGUGCCAGCAGCCGCGGUAAAACGUAGGGUGCGAGCGUUGUCCGGAAUUACUGGGUGUAAAGGGAGCGCAGGCGGAAAGGUAAGUUGAAUGUGAAAUCUAUGGGCUCAACCCAUAAAUUGCGUUCAAAACUAUUUUUCUUGAGUGGAGUAGAGGUAAGUGGAAUUCCAGGUGUAGCGGUGGAAUGCGUAGAUAUCUGGAGGAACACCAGUGGCGAAGGCGGCUUACUGGGCUCUAACUGACGCUGAGGCUCGAAAGCAUGGGUAGCAAACA
rnacentral:rRNA from 1 species